AAUAGAUACCCGGGUAGUCCACGCCGUAAACGAUGGAUGCUAGCUGUAGGGGGUAUCGACCCCUUCUGUAGCGAAGCUAACGCGUUAAGCAUCCCGCCUGUGGAGUACGGCCGCAAGGCUAAAACAUAAAGGAAUUGACGGGGACCCGCACAAGCGGUGGAUCGUGUUCUUUAAUUCGAUGAUAAACGGAGAACCUUACCAGGGCUUGACAUCCUUGGAAUUUCUGCGAAAGCAGUUAGUGCCUUUUGGAACCAAGUGACAGGUGAUGCAUGGCCGUCGUCAGCUCGUGUCGUGAGAUGUUUGGUUAAGUCCAUCAACGAGCGCAACCCUUAUGUUUAGUUGUAUUUUUUCUAAACAGACUGCCCCGGUUAACGGGGAGGAAGGAGGGGAUGAUGUCAGGUCAGUAUUUCCCUUACGCCCUGGGCUAGAAACACGAUACAAUGGCUAGUACAAUGCGCAGCGAAGCCGCGAGGUGGAGCAAAUCGCACCAAAGCUAGUCCCAGUUCGGAUUGGAGGCUGAAACUCGCCUCCAUGAAGUCGGAAUCGCU
rnacentral:rRNA from 1 species